UGCAAAUGGGCGCAAUGCAAUGGAUUUCAGCGAACGAGCUACGAAGACCUGGAGUUACACAUUAUACACGACCACUUCUUUGAUGACAGAAUCACCUUUCCUUCCCUAGAUGAUUGGCUGGAAUAUCUCCCAGAAAAAAGAAUCGACCCAGAAACCACUGAUUUACGCUUCUGUCCAAAACACCUGAGAAGCAAGCUGAAGUUGUU